rnacentral:rRNA from 1 species
GACAGAGGGUGCAAACGUUGUUCGGAAUUACUGGGCGUAAAGCGCGUGUAGGCUGCUUCGCAAGUCGGAUGUGAAAGCCCGGGGCUCAACCCCGGGAGGCGGGUGGAUACUGUCAAGCUCGAGUCCGGAAGAGGCGAGUGGAAUUCCAGGUGUAGCGGUGAAAUGCGUAGAUAUCAGGAAGAACACCAAUGGCGAAAGCAGCUCUCUGGGACGGUACUGACGCUGAGACGCGAAAGCGUGGGGAGCGAACAGG